rnacentral:tRNA from 1 species
GUGGUUGUGGCUCAGUGGUGGAGUGCUUGCCUAGCAUGUGUGAGGCUCUGGGUUCGAUCCUCAGCACCACA